rnacentral:lncRNA from 1 species
GUGAGUUAUUACAUAUGCAGAGGGCGGGUGCCUGUGAAAUCCGUCGCCUGGAGAUCUCACCUUGGGAGGCGGCUUGUUCUGCUGGCACACCUGAGCAAGGACAUUUCAGAACAGCUGGGACGGGCUCUGACACCCUCACAUCCCAUGGCCGCCCUCAUCUUCAUCCAUGAUCUCCCCUCAUGGCCGCCUCUCACCUUCCUCCAUGAUCUCCCCUCAUGGCCGCCCUCGUCUUCCUCCAUGAUCUCCCCUCAUGGCCGCCCUCGUCUUCCUCCAUGAUCUCCCCUCAUGGCCGCCCUCAUCUUCAUCCAUGAUCUCCCCUCAUGGCCGCCUCUCACCUUCCUCCAUGAUCUCCCCUCAUGGCCGCCCUCGUCUUCCUCCAUGAUCUCCCCUCAUGGCCGCCCUCGCCUUCCUCCAUGAUCUCCCCUCAUGGCCACCCUCGCCUUCCUCCAUGAUCUCCCCUCAUGGCCACCCUCACCUUCCUCCAUGAUCUCCCCUCAUGGCCGCCCUCGUCUUCCUCCAUGAUCUCCCUCAUGGCCGCCCUCGUCUUCCUCCAUGAUCUCCC